CGCGGCCUAUCAGCUUGUUGGAGAGGUAACGGCUCACCAAGGCAUCGACGGGUAGCUGGUCUGAGAGGAUGAUCAGCCACACUGGGACUGAGACACGGCCCAGACUCCUACGGGAGGCAGCAGUGGGGAAUCUUGCACAAUGGGCGCAAGCCUGAUGCAGCAACGCCGCGUGCGGGAAGAAGGCCCUAGGGUUGUAAACCGCUUUCAGCAGGGAAGAAACUGACGGUACCUGCAGAAGAAGGUGCGGCCAACUACGUGCCAGCAGCCGCGGUGACACGUAGGCACCAAGCGUUAUCCGGAUUUAUUGGGCGUAAAGAGCUCGUAGGCGGUUCGGUUAGUCGGGUGUGUAAACUUGAGGCUCAACCUCAAGAGGCCACCCGAUACUGCUGUGACUAGAGUGCGGUAGGGGAGCGGGGAAUUCAUGGUGUAGCGGUGAAAUGCGCAGAUAUCAUGAGGAACACCAGUGGCGAAGGCGCCGCUCUGGGCCGUAACUGACGCUGAGGAGCGAAAGCGUGGGUAGCAAACAGGAUUAGAUACCCUGGUAGUCCACGCCGUAAACGUUGGGCACUAGGUGUGGGUCUCAACCAACGAGAUCCGCGCCGUCGCUAACGCAUUAAGUGCCCCGCCUGGGGAGUACGG
rnacentral:rRNA from 1 species